rnacentral:misc_RNA from 1 species
CAAUUUUGGUACAUCGAGUCGUCCCUCGGGGCGGCUCCGGUGUCACCAAUCGAGAUACCAACCCAUGUCUUUUGAGCACCUUACGUUUCCUCGGCAGGCUCGCCUGCCAAUGGGGACCCCUUUAAAACCUUUUUGUGUAUGCAGUAAACGUCUACAAACAAAUGAAAUCA